rnacentral:rRNA from 1 species
ACCUUCGGGCCUCUUGCCAUCAGAUGUGCCCAGAUGGGAUUAGCUAGUAGGUGGGGUAACGGCUCACCUAGGCGACGAUCCCUAGCUGGUCUGAGAGGAUGACCAGCCACACUGGAACUGAGACACGGUCCAGACUCCUACGGGAGGCAGCAGUGGGGAAUAUUGCACAAUGGGCGCAAGCCUGAUGCAGCCAUGCCGCGUGUAUGAAGAAGGCCUUC